UGUGACCUACGGGGCGCAGCAGUCGAGAAUCAUUCACAAUGGGGGAAACCCUGAUGGUGCGGCGCCGCGUGGGGGAAUGAAGGUCUUCAGAUUGUAAACCCCUGUCAUGUGGGAGCAAAUUAAAAGGAUAGUACCACAAGAGGAAGAGACGGCUAACUCUGUGCCAGCAGCCGCGGUAAUACAGAGGUCUCAAGCGUUGUUCGGAAUCACUGGGCGUAAAGCGUGCGUAGGCUGUUUCGUAAGUCGUGUGUGAAAGGCGCGGACUCAACCCGCGGACGGCACAUGAUACUGCGAGACUAGAGUAA
rnacentral:rRNA from 1 species